GAGAAUAACGAGUCGGUUAUAUACAAAGAUGUGUCUAUGGAAAGAGUUUCUUUCUUAGUACAACAGGCCAUGAGGGCAUUCCAUGCUCAGAAUUUAGGAAGUGCCAAAUCAAGACUCAACCUAUGUGCAGAAGACAUUCGUAGUUAGAUAGAAAAAGUUGGUAACACUUCAGAGUUAUGUUCACAACUUGGAGCAGUCUUGGGUAUGCUCGGCGACUGCUGCCGAGCAAUGGGUAAUAGCAGUUCUGCCGAACUUAUUUUGAAUGUUCAUGUUGGAAGAGGAUUCGUGGGCUUGCAAUCCGGAAGAAUUCUGCACAAACAUCAGAUGCAACAAUUAUUCGUAAGCUCACCGACUCGGCAAUAAACGUGAAAGGCGGGGUUAAAGACAAGUGAUAAGAAACAGAUACUAACCAAAGAAAGAAGCUUGAUCCACGGAGUCUCGUACCGUAUAAGCCGUGAUGUGAGAGCAUUGAGCACCAUAAACAGACCAAAAUCCCAAACUAAUCCAAUUGUUACUCGAACAAGGCAACUUUAUCACUUCAACAUAAAAUUACAACAUUAACACAAGAAAAGUCAAAGCUAAGCUCGACCAAGGACUUGCACUCGUCGUAAAGCAACACCAACCUCAAUGCAUUGCAAAGACACCCUCUCCAUUCAUUUGAUCGUGUUUCACUGCAGUAAAAGGAC
rnacentral:lncRNA from 1 species